GAUGAACGCUGGCGGCGUGCCUAACACAUGCAAGUCGAGCGGCAGCGAGGGGUGCUUGCACCCUGUCGGCGAGCGGCGGACGGCUGAGUAACGCGUGGGAACGUGCCCCAAAGUGAGGAAUAACUGCCCGAAAGGGUAGCUAAUCCCGCAUAUUAUCUUCGCAUCAAAGUAUUUCUGCGCUUGGGGCGCGGCUCGCGUCGGAUUAGGUAGUUGGUGGGGUAAUGGCUUACCAAGCCGUUGACCGGUAGCUGGUCUGAGAGGAUGACAGGCCAGGUUGGGACGGAGAUACGGCCCGGACUACUACGGGAGGGAGGGGGGGGGAAUAGUGCACAAUGGGCGGAAGCAUGAUGUAGCAACGCAGCGUGGGGGAUGACGGCCGUCGGGUUGUAUACCGCUUUCGCCUGUGACGAAGCGAGAGUGACGGUAAUUGAUAAAGAAGCACCGGCUAACUACGUG
rnacentral:rRNA from 1 species